GAGGAUAUUGUGGCGUUUUGAUUAUUAUCUAAAUAGUAAAUUAAACGAUAAUAUUUUGAUGAUUUGAAGUUUUUUGUCGAAUUUAUUAAAUAUUUUACCUUUUUUACUCUUUACUCUUUAAGUAUGUUUUAUAUAAUUAAUGAAUACGUUCACUACCUGUCCUUGUGCAGUAUACAAAUCACAAAUCCAAAAAGUUCACCCUCUGAUGUGGUUUUCGUGAAAUGUAUCGACAAAGAAUUAAAACCAUUGCAAAAACCAAGUUAAACUUAUGGUAUCUACAAGUUACAAAUCACAUCCCAACCUUCAUUACUUAAAUCAUUCAGAGAUGCAGUAACUGAUGUAUGCAAGCCAUUUAGAAGAUUAUUUUGUUUGGAAAAAACUUCUUCUGAGAAAACUGUUUUCACUAACGGUUCCACAUGGUGUUUAUGUUGAUAGUAUAUGACCGACAUAUAACAAGAUCUAUAGUGUAUGGUAGAGAGUAGUAAAGUAAAAAACUUAUAAUUGUAGACCAUUGCAAGGUUCAUCAAAGUCCUUGGCCAUUUAACAUAUUUCCACCAAUGUAAAUUUUUCAACCCUUAGGGCCCCGCCACACUACUCCGGUUUUACCGGACCGGUGAAAACGUUCAUUAUAAACCGGACGGGACAUUGUCACCAUACUAUUGCGGUUUUGCCGCAGAAACGGUUACCCUUUCCACCUAAAUUUCGACCUAUACACCUAAUAUAAAUUAUCUAGUAAUGCAAUUAUUGUAGUAUUGAAAAUGAUCAUUUGUUUGCACGCGGAUUUUGAGUGAACAUAUACGCUUUUUAGUUUUUAUUUUAAUAAUAUUAUCUUGUAUAAAACUUAUUAAUAUUAAAAAUGAAUAAAAAAAUAAAAGCUGUUUGCAUUGCGGAAGCACUUGGACUGCUAGGUGAGCCCGUGCAGCGUAAAUUUUGGGUUCAUCCAUUAAAUGUGAAUCGAGAAAAAUCAGAAAGAUUUUCAUUAUUUUUUGAAAAUUUAAGAAAAUACCCAGAUAAAUUCCCAAAGUGUUAUAAAUACUUUCUGAAAGAACGCCUCUAUAGCUUUAUCUGUAACAUUUUUAUCAUGCUGAUGAUUAUAUUUUGAUUACUUUAUUAAAAUUUUGUUAAGUAUGGGACCUAAAAAUAAAGGCUCCUGGGGUCUUUGGUCGAACGGCCUGCACAGAUUAUGUACAUAUAGGUAAUUAAAAAAAUCUAUUUAAAUAUUUUAGAUUAAACAUUCAAAUUUAUUUAAGUAUUCAUAGAGUCAAAGUUUAAAUUAUAACAAUGUAAAAAAAACAAUUAAUAGUUAUAAAAAAAAAUAGUCAACACUUUUUAUAAGUACCCACUUCUUGGUAUAGGAAUAAAAGUAAAUUAGUUUUCAACUUAAAAUAUUUAUUUGCUUAUUAAACAUAACCUACCCGGUAUAAUAAAAAAAUAAUACAAUCUAUUAAUUAAUAUUUAUUUAAAUAAUAAUCAUUGAUCACUAAUAUUUUUAUAAGGAUCUGUAAGGGGGCCAGGAAGUAAAUAAGGGUUAAAUAUAGGUGGCAUUGUUGAGGAUGUUGGUGUAGUUAAAGUAGAAGGUUGCUGAUAAAUAUCUGAUGGAUGGUAUGUGGUUAAUGAAGUAGAUGAAGUAGAUACUGUUGAUGGCGUUCCGAUGUUAUGAUGUAGAGAAGGGUUGAGACUAUUGAGAUAAUUUGUUUGAAAAUUGUAUGGAAAUCGGAUUGCAAAGGAUUUAUACUAUAGAUACUAUGAUUAGAUAGUUCUGGUACAUGAUUGUUUGACUUGGAUGUAUGAACAGGGUUCUGGAAAUUGUGUGGUCGUUGUACUGUUUUGGAGUGAGAUUUGAAAAAACUAAUUACGUACGACUGAAAAUCCAAUUUUUGCUCUUCAGAUAAUUUUUUUACGUGGUUUAAAAAACUCAUUAAAAGCGCCACAUCUGGAUCUACAUCUUCGGAUUUUUCUAGCAUACGUAACAAUUUUGACUGGAAAGGAGUCUCGGCAUUUUUUUUUUUUUUACUUUGAAAGUUUGUUGUUUCAUAUUGCGACGGACCUGGCAAACUUGAAAUAUUCAUAUUUCUUUCGUUUUCAUUGACCGACUCAUCGAGUGUGUUUUGAAAAAUGUCAUUGAGAUUGGAGACUUCAUUUGAAACAUCUGCAUUAUCCACAAUAUUACU